CUGGGCCAAUCUGGCGCCUCUGCGAUCACUAUUUAGGGGACGGGAAUUUGAAAUGCGAGUCGGGAGGUGGAGAGUGAUACAAGAUGGAGGCCACCACGCGGAUCCUUCAGCCAGAGAAGGAGGAAGGAACGAGAAGCAGUAGACCGGAGACCCUUCUGCAAGCCGUGGCGAGAAUACAAGCUGUGCCCCUGAAACCUAUGGAGAUUCGUGGCAAGACUGAGAGCCACCAACAGCUCCGUGUGGGUGAGCCCGGACGGGCGGGGGACUGUGUGGGGAGAUGGCCAUGGCCCAGGCCGUGCUGGAGAGCCUGCGCGCCGCAGAGCAGCCCCACACGAGAGGCAGAGAGGAGCUGCAGCCUUUGGAAUAAGUGCGCAUCGGAGCAGCCCGUGCAAGUCUGCCAUGCUUGUGAGUUACCCCACGGACUUGCAGGGAGGACUGGUGUGGAGUUCACCCGUCCUGAGGAGGGACAAACGGCAGAAGCUCUCGGAAACCGACUAACUGAACCCCCCACUGCCUGCCCCCCCCGAACCGUUCGGGGGGGAGCAAGGUAAAAACACCGGGAUCAGGGCUCUGAACCCGGGAAGAGGGGAGGGAUGGCAAGAAGGUGUUCUUAAAAAGGCUAGUUGGACUCUUCAUUGAUGUAUUACUCUGGGUUGUUUCAUUUUGGUUAUGUUUUGGUUGAUUUUGCAUUAAAUUAUUUUUCUGUUUUCUUCCCCAAACCGAGUAGCCUGGUCUGUUUUGUCCUGAACCUUAAGCGGCAAUUAAGCCCUCCCUGCCCUCGAGCAAUCCUCAGCCUCGAGGCUAAUCGUGGCCUUUGUUCCCUGAUGGGCCUAAACCACUUAAAUAUUUCAAGAUGGUCCUCAAUGAGAAGGAAUAAGCAAAGGAAGAUGAAUCAGGACUAGUAAAAAUGCAAAUUAUCUCAUUGCUUAUGAGAUGAAAUGCAUUCUUGCCAGUCCUGAUUCAUCUUUUUUCUUAAAAACACACAAACAGAAAGGCUUCCUAGAUUUUUGUUAUGUUUCUUGGUUUAAAUUUUGCAAAGAGUUAUCUUCAUAGAAUCAUAGAUUCAAAGGUUAGUCUUUUAUUUCCCUUUUUCUGACCACUUUUCACACCUAACCAGUAGGUAAUUUAAAGCACUCAUUUUACCUUUAUAAAUGUCAAUCUGAUAAUGCAGUGGUUUUGCUGUAUUAUUGCUUAUUAUGUUUUUGCCUUUUAGGUGCCAAGCUGGAUUCAGUGGAGCAAGAUGUACUGAAAAGCUGCUUAUGACAAUCCUAAACCAAUAAAGUAUACUAAAAUAAUCUCAACUUUUUUCCCCCAAAUUACAGCAAGUGUUUUCAUGUUUCAGUUGGAACUGGAAUCUUUAAUAUGGAGAAGCCUGGCAGAUUGAUUAUAUCACACUACCAUGAACCUGCUACAGCAAGCACCAUUUGCUUACAAUGGUGGAACAUGUCACCCUGAUCCCGGCUGGCCCGAGACCAGCAAGUGGUGUGAGGUGAAGUAGUCAGCAGCAUGCUCAUAUGCCGAAGAGGAAUGAUGUCCAGAUCAAAACAUUUUUUUUUUUCCUCUGCCCCUGGUGAGUAACAGACAGCAGCGCCUGUCUAUGGGAAGCUAUCGGCAUACAUAAGUUCAGAAGGAGUUUUCUUUUGUCUCUUUCUCUCAUCGAGCCUUUGGGGGGAGCCCAAAGCUAAUGUAGCUUGUCUGUGCCCCUCCCCCUUUCCCCCCCCCCCCCCCCUUGCCACCAACAACCACUCUCUUUCUCUCUCUCUCUUCCUCUCUCUUAAAUCAUGCCUUUCUAAGGAAAGGCAUUUUCCUUAGAAAUCCAGCUUUUCUAAGGAACAAAAGUUGUAUAUGCAAGCUUUAAAGCAGCUAUUACAGGCUGUUCACUGUUCAGUAACAGAUGAUCAAUUGCGUGAGUUGUUGCACUGUAUUGGGAGAUAUUGUACAUGGUUCCUGGCAGAAGGGAGCAUAGAUUUAGCAUUAUGGUACAAGGUGGGGCAAGAGUUUAAAACUAAAAAGGAGACGGGGCUUGCAAUUCCCGUCUUGUUGAGUUUACAUGGUAAUUGAUUUAUAUAGUUUUACAACCUCUGGUGGGAGAGGUAACAGAACCCCUUGAGAUCCCAUCUCAGCAAAAGAAAGAAGUAACACCCAGUGCUUCCCUCUGAGAAAAACAAUAUCUGGGAUGCAAAGGGUAAAGCUUACCUCCCCCAACCUGAAACUCCCCCUCCCUAAGGCAUCCCUGGUAGAAAUCCAGGGAAAAGAGUCUGUUUUAGAGACAUGUUUUAGAUAAGCAUUAAAUAAUGGGGACCCUGUGGCAUUUCCAGUGAUGUUAAGACCCCACCAACAGCUACGGCACUUUUUUAAGAGCUGCGGAAAAGCAUCAAGGAGAGGGGGCCUCAGAGUCCAUUUACAGUGAGUAUAUUGGAGGGAAUCUCUAACGGAUAUGAAUUGGUCCCAUGGGACUGGCAAGCAGUGUUAACGCCAGCGUGGUAUUUCAUUUGGAGAACAGAGUAUAUGGAUCUUUGUACUCAGCAAUCCAUGGAAAAUUUGACUGACGGCACACUGAUAGGUGAUGAGAUGCCAGUAUUUUACAUAUAUUCCCUCUCCUGGACAAUGGAGCUGAAGUUACUGUAUUGCAUAAUGAUAUCAAUAAUAAAAAGCUGUAUCACAGAUAUGUGGAUUGGAGGCAAGUUCGACCCCGCCCUCCAAGCUGAGGUUGCCUUAACAAUAGGAAAUGCUAUGCCAUUUAUUACUAUACUGUUAAUUGCUCCAAUUAAGGAGUAUGUUUUCAGUACUAAAGUAUUGGCAGGACACAUGGUGGAAAUUUAAAAUUGUCUUUUUUUUUUUCUCUCUUUUUUUUUUUUCGUUGUUGUAGGGGUCCGGAAGAUCUCGGGUUGUAACGUGAGAGGUGGAGGGUACAGAAGAGGUAGGCACGGGUGGAGUGAAAGGAGGUGCUUGUGUUAGCAGAUAAAAGCACAUGGCAUAAACAAUUAGUUGGAAUAAAGUAUCAUCCAUACUGUGUAUGAAGUGAUCUUGUCCCCUCAGCGGGGGUGGGCUGAGGUGUGCGGGCGGCCUGGUGAUGUUGUCGGUAGCGGCAACAUAUGGUGACCCCGACGUGAUCAGCGGAACGCAGGACGUCCGCUGCCAUGGCACAGUUGGAACAGGUGAUUAAGUACCAUCUGUGAACAAGCAGGAGCCAGGAAGAUCUGAACAUCUCCAACCAGACUCUCCUUAUUUGUCAGCACAAGGUCCAUCAGCACAGCCCUCCUCAUUGGUUCGCCUGUGACAGGAAGUUGUUGUUAACCUUCUGUAGGAAUCUCCUGGACUGUGUGCGCUUGGCUGUGUGGCUUUGCCAGCAAAUAUCAGGGGGAUUGAAGUCCCCCAUAAAGACCAGGGAUUGUGACUGUAAGGCAGCUCUCAACUGUUCGUAGAAGGCCUCAUCCACUUCCUCCUCCUGAUCAGGUGGCCUGUAGCAAACUCCUACAACAAUAUCACCUACCUUACCUUGCCCCUUAAUUUUUACCCAUAAGCACUGAACCUGCCCCUCAUCCCCACCCGGGCAGAGUUCAAAUGCAAGUUAAUUGCUCCCUCACAUAGAGAGCAACUCCAUCUCCGCGGUUUGUUAGUCUGUCUUUCCUGAACAAUCCAUAGCCCUCUACGGCUGUGCUCCAGUCAUAUGAGCUGUUCCACCACAUCUCUGUGACCGCAAUGAGGUCGUAGAUCCCCAUCCACACCCACAUCUCCAGUUCCUCCUGCUUAUUCCCCAGGCUGUGUGCAUUGGUAUAGAGACAACACAGGGGUUUACUCAAACACACAGGUUUCCCUGGACGGAUGCAGGAGGAUCCUCUCAUUCUUGGCUCUCCCUCAGGGUGGUCAGUCUUCUGCAUCUCAACAAGUUGUGCAGAUGAGGGGCACUUAUCACCACGUUCCCUGUCCUGUCCUGUUUCCCUCCUAGAUAGGAUAGCUUGUUCUAUUUUGUUUCUCCCCCUACCCCCCAAGUUCUUUAGUUUAAAGCCCUCUUGACCAAGUUGCCAACCUAUUCCCAAAUAUUCCAGUGCCCUUAUGGGAGAGAUGAAUUCCAUCCUGUCGUAUCAAGUUAUAGUCCCCAAAGAAGGAUCCGUUGUCAUAAAAUCUGAAAUCUUCCUGCCAGCACCAGCCUCUUAGCCAGGAGUUCACUUGACUGAUCUUUUCAUUGGUGACUUCCCCUUUACCUCUGAUGAAUAGAAGGGAAAAUAACUUGUGCCCCCCUACCUUUGACUUGCUCUCCCAAUGUUUUAAAAUCCUUUUUGAUUCUGGAGAUAUCAUGCCUUAUGACAUCAUUCAUACCUACAUGGAACAGAAGGGAUAGUAGCCCGAGUCCCUGACGAGACAUGGCACUCUCUCAGCCACAUCACAGAUCUUGGCUCCCAGCAGGUAGCACACCUCUUGCAACUCCUUAUGCAAUCGACAGAUGGCUCUCCCAGUGCCUCUUAGCAAUGAGUCACCCACAGCAAGCACUCUUCACUUCUUUCUGUGGUGCCCGUUACCUGUUGCUGGUGGAGCAGCUGAUGGUGAAUUGUUUGCUGGGAUUUCCCCUUCUGCAGCUUGCUCAUCUAAGUCCCCUGUGCAUUGCUAAAGGUUGUCUCGCAAUGAUAGAGGAAUCAGACCAUGAAGGGUCACUUGGUGAACACUUUGAGGAAGAUGAAGAAAGACCUCUAGAUGAAGUAAACGACCACCUAAGUGAAAACCAAGGACAUUAAAUGGAAGGUGGAUGGCAGUAGGGCACUGUGAAAGUGGCAAUCUGAAGAAAUUAAAAUAACUGAAAUUAUGACAUGAUUUGUGACUGUUGGGGAGGGAAUAUGAUAAUCACUUUUGAAAUCGUGUAACUUUUUGGGAAUAAAUAUGGGUUUGUUGUUUAA